AAACCAAGUUUGAGAAGGACAACAUCCCAUGGGAGGAACCAUGCACUGGAGCAGGGCAAGACAGUGAAGAUGAAUUGACAGUAGACGACAAUGCAUUAUGGACUGACUGGAGCUCCAGUUCCCCUGCUCUGUUCAAGGGGAGGAGGUUGAAACUUCACUGAAACAUUGAGUUGACUCCAUGACUCAAAAACAUCAACUCCUAAAUUCUGUGAUGAACAAUAACAUGGAUCAGCUUCAAAAUGUGUGACCUUUUCCUUCUGGAAGGAAAAGUAGUAUCUUUAUUCUGUGAAGUAACAUAAGCUGACUCUGGAAAGAAAAUCUCUGUGUCAUCUGAACAUCUUCAGCUCCUUGAGCCUUCUGCCAGCCUUUCAUGGAGAAAAUGGGAAUGGCCUUGGCUCUGUAGAACACUGUUUAGCAAUAACUAUUUUUCCUAGAAUGAAAAAAAGGGAAACAUCUGGCCUAUAUUGCUCUGACAAGCUUUCUACAGGGAAUUCCAGGCAUGCCAAGAAUUCUCGGCAUCCUCAAAAAUAAGGAAUGAACAUAGUCACUUUGCCCCAAGGAAAAUUGUUUGCUGUACAGCUUUUGACUCCAUCAUUCUUUCACAGUUGUUGCAACAUUCAAAAGCCUGAGGGGACUUAAGAGAAGCAAUCAGCCAAGCAUGACUUGUAUAAUAUUGAAGUGUCUGAAGGACAGUAUUUUUAGGCAGGUACUCUUCCCAGUAGGCCAGGCUGUUCAGAGUGACAUCCAUCCUUGACUUGAAUGCUUCCAGGGAGGGGACAUCCACAACCUCACUGAGCAAACUGUUCCAGUGUCUCACCACUAACCAGUAAAGAAUUUCUUCCUACAUGACCUUGUUGAACUUCAUGAGGUUGGCAUGGGACCACCUUUCAGGCCUGCCAGGUCCCUCUGGAUAGUGUACCCUCCCUCAAGCAUGUCAACUGCACCACGCAGCCUGAUGUCAUCUGCAAACUUGUGGAGGAUGCACUUCAUGUUGCCUACAAAAAUGUUAAAAAACACUACCAACACCGAUCCCUGAAGAAUGACGCUCAUGACCUGUUUUCACAUGGACAUUGAGCUGCUGACUGCAGCUCUCUGAGUGCAACCAUCCAGCCAAUUCCUUCUCCAGCCAGUGGUCCAUUCAUCAAAUCCAUUUUUCUCCAAUUUAACAAACCAGGAUGUCAUGCGGGACAGUGUCAAAUGCUCUGCACAAGACCAGGCUAUAUUACAGAGAGAAGGCAGAAAAAGUCAUUAAAUCUCUUUGGCCUGGAAAAGAGACAACUGACUGGAAACAAAAUUAUCAAAGAGGCUGGUUCCAGGAACCUGUCCGGAAGAGAAGAACUACAUACUCCUGGGGCCUUUGCAUUCAGAGAGGAGAUAUAACCCCCUGGCAAGGUCACCUGAUGUGCCUUUUUUUCUUCGGUUCUCCCUCAUCCUUGCUGCUUGACCCAACCGUGUGUCUCACCUCAGAGCCUUUCUUCAUAGGAGAAGUGCUCCAGCCCUUUGAUAAUCUUCAUAGACCUCCUCUGGACCAGCUCAAGCAGCUCCAUGUCUUCCCUGUGCUGGGGACCCCAAGUCUGGAUGCAGUACUCCAGAUGAUGCAUCUUGAAGGCAGAGCUGGGGGGAGGGGAGACAAUCACCUCCCUCUUCCUGCUGGACACUCCUCCCCUGGUGCAGCCCAAGAUACUCUUGGUCUUCAGUGCUGUAAGCACUCACUGCUGGCUCAUGUCUAACUUUUCCUCCACCACGACCACCAAGUUUUUUUCCAUAGGGCUACUUUCAAUAAGUUCUUGCAGUGUUUACAUACAUCUGGGAUUACCUGACCCACAUGGAAACCCCUUGUGCUUGAAUUAAUAUGGGAAUGUUAUUAAUGGAAUAAAAAGGGGAGGGGAAAAAAUAAAAUAAAAAGCAAAAAUAAUUGAAAAAAAAAAAAACAGCUUGUAAUUUGGAAAUCAAAUAGAAGCUCAUGUUUAUUCAGCUUCAGCUUUCCCUCCUACUCAAAUAUAUUACUCAUAUUUUAAUUUUUCCUGAAGUGUCAAACCAUGUGAAACUACAAAAUAUGGAAUCAUAAAAAAAGGUGUUCUGCAGAAACUGAUCUAAAUCCAUCUGGCAAUAUUCAGUACAAUACUAGCUACUUAAUCUUUUGUGUUCAUUUCUUUGUUUCCUCUGUUU
ensembl:lncRNA